GUCCAGACUCCUACGGGAGGCAGCAGUGGGGGAUAUUGCACAAUGGGGGAAACCCUGAUGCAGCGACGCCGCGUGGGUGAAGAAGCGCCUCGGCGCGUAAAGCCCUGUCAGCAGGGAAGAAAAUGACGGUACCUGAAGAAGAAGCCCCGGCUAACUACGUGCCAGCAGCCGCGGUAAUACGUAGGGGGCAAGCGUUAUCCGGAUUUACUGGGUGUAAAGGGGGCGCAGACGGCAGCGCAAGCCAGGAGUGAAAGCCCGGGGCCCAACCCCGGGACUGCUCUUGGAACUGCGCGGCUGGAGUGCAGGAGGGGCAGGCGGAAUUCCUAGUGUAGCGGUGAAAUGCGUAGAUAUUAGGAGGAACACCGGUGGCGAAGGCGGCCUGCUGGACUGUGACUGACGUUGAGGCCCGAAGGCGUGGGGAGCACACAGGAUUAGAUACCCUCGUAU
rnacentral:rRNA from 1 species